rnacentral:rRNA from 1 species
GACGAACGCUGGCGGCGUGCCUAAUACAUGCAAGUCGAGCGGAACUGGGGGAGCUUGCUCCUUCCAGUUUAGCGGCGGACGGGUGAGUAACACGUGGGCAACCUGCCCUGCAGAUCGGGAUAACUCCGGGAAACCGGUGCUAAUACCGAAUAGCUUGGCGCCUCUCCUGAGGCGCUACGGAAAGACGGUUUCGGCUGUCACUGCAGGCUGGGCCCGCGGCGCAUUAGCUAGUUGGUGGGGUAACGGCCCACCAAGGCGACGAUGCGUAGCCGACCUGAGAGGGUGACCGGCCACACUGGGACUGAGACACGGCCCAGACUCCUACGGGAGGCAGCAGUAGGGAAUCUUCCGCAAUGAACGCAAGUCUGACGGAGCAACGCCGCGUGAGUGACGAAGGUUUUCGGAUCGUAAAACUCUGUUGUGAGGGAAGAACACGUACCAACUAACUAUUGGUACCUUGACGGUACCUCACCAGAAAGCCACGGCUGACUACGUGCCAGCCGCCGCAGUAA